rfam:Sphaerobolus stellatus SS14 unplaced genomic scaffold SPHSTscaffold_66, whole genome shotgun sequence.
GGUCUUUUAGUUCAAGGGUAAAACAACUGUCUUUCAUACAGUAGCUACCAGUUCGAAUCUGGUAAAGAUCA